rnacentral:rRNA from 1 species
GAUGAACGCUGGCGGCAUGCCUAACACAUGCAAGUCGAACGGGCAGUGGUGUUUCUUGUGGCGAACGGGUGAGUAACGGGUAAGAAAGUGCCCCGGGGAUGGGCACCAUAACUGGCAACGGUUGCUAAUACACCGCAGGCCUAGGAGCAAAAGGAGAAAUCCACCCAAGGAGGGGCUCGCGAAUGAUUAGCUAGCUGUCGAGUAAGUAGCUUACCAAGGCGAUGGAGAGUAGCUGUUCCGAGAGGACUAUCGGCCACACUGGGACUGAGACACGGCCCAGACACCUACGGGAGGCAGGAGUGAGGAAUUUGCAGCAAUGGGCGAAAGCCUAACGGAGCAAUGCCGCGUGGAAGUGGAGGGCCUACGGGUCGUCAACUUCUUUUCUCGGAGAAGAAACAAUGACGGUAUCUGAGGAAUAAGCAUCGGCUAACUCUGUG